rnacentral:misc_RNA from 1 species
GUUCCGACUCAGUACUGAGCUAGGGGAAUUUUCCGCAAUGGGCGAAAGCCUGACGGAGCAAUACCGCGUGAGGGAGGAAGGCUUUUGGGUUGUAAACCUCUUUUAUCAGGGAAGAAGAAAGUGACGGUACCUGAGGAAAAAGCAUCGGCUAACUCCGUGCCAGCAGCCGCGGUAAUACGGAGGAUGCAAGCGUUAUCCGGAAUUAUUGGGCGUAAAGCGUCCGUAGGUGGUACCUCAAGUCGGCUGUUAAAGACCAGGGCUUAACUCUGGGCAGGCAGUGGAAACUGAGGAACUAGAGGGCAGUAGGGGUAGAGGGAAUUCCCGGUGUAGCGGUGAAAUGCGUAGAUUUCGGGAAGAACAUCGGUGGCGAAGGCGCUCUACUGGACUGAACCUGACACUGAGGGACGAAAGCUAGGGGAGCGAAUGGGAUUAGAUACCCCAGUAGUCCUAGCUGUAAACGAUGGAUACUAGGUGUAGCUUGUAUCGACCCAAGCUGUGCCGAAGCCAACGCGUUAAGUAUCCCGCCUGGGGAGUACGCACGCAAGUGUGAAACUCAAAGGAAUUGACGGGGGCCCGCACAAGCGGUGGAGUAUGUGGUUUAAUUCGAUGCAACGCGAAGAACCUUACCAGGGCUUGACAUGUCGCGAAUCUCGGUGAAAGCUGGGAGUGCCUUCGGGAGCGCGAACACAGGUGGUGCAUGGCUGUCGUCAGCUCGUGUCGUGAGAUGUUGGGUUAAGUCCCGCAACGAGCGCAACCCUCGUUUUUAGUUGCCAGCACGUGAUGGUGGGCACUCUAGAGAGACUGCCGGUGACAAACCGGAGGAAGGUGGGGAUGACGUCAAGUCAGCAUGCCCCUUACGCCCUGGGCGACACACGUACUACAAUGGUCAGGACAAUGGGCAGCCAACUCGCAAGGGGGAGCUAAUCUCAUCAAACCUGGCCUCAGUUCAGAUUGCCGGCUGCAACUCGCCGGCAUGAAGGAGGAAUCGCUAGUAAUCGCCGGUCAGAAUACGGCGGUGAAUCCGUUCCCGGGCCUUGUACACACCGCCCGUCACACCAUGGAAGCUGGCCACGCCCGAAGUCGUUACCCUAACCCUUUUGGGAGGGGGAUGCCGAAGGCAGGGUUGGUGACUGGGGUGAAGUCGUAACAAGGUAGCCGUACCGGAAGGUGUGGCUGGAUCACCUCCUUUUCAGGGAGACCAACCGAGACCGACUCUGAGCCAAAGUGGCGAGAGGGGGAAUCAGGUCAACCGAGGUCGAAGGGUAGAAGACUAGGCUCUCAAACUAUUUUAGGUUCGGUAAUGGGCUAUUAGCUCAGGUGGUUAGAGCGCACCCUGAUAAAGGGUGAGGUCCCUGGUUCGAGUCCAGGAUGGCCCACAUCUUAAUAAAAGCUCAGGCGGUAAGCAAUCAAAGCCAAGAGCGUGCUCAAGGCGAAAACCAAAAAUACUGUCAAAAAGAACAGCACCGGGACAUGGUAAAAGCCAGUUCAGGAUGCUGGGCUUAAAGUCCAGUAAAGAACCAAGAAAAUUGCAUAGCGAAGUGUAGAAAAGCCAAAAAGUCGAGCCGCGAGCGAAACAGUGGAACAGGCUUCCAGCCUGUGAAGUAAGCGGUAAAAAAGAACAAAAAUACAAUAUGGCAUAGACCCUCCUGCC